AAAAACAAACAAAAAAAUGGAAUCAUAAAAUGAAUUAGGGGGGGUAUGCUUGUCUGAAGAGGUGGGUUUUCAGAUUUUUAGCAAACUGCGGGAGUGAGUUCAUGUUCCGCAGACCUGAGGGAAGUGAGUUCCAGAGCGGGGGGGUAGAGCGGCUGAAUGCUCUGCCCCCCAUAGUGACCAACCGAACGGUGGGUGUAACAAGCUGGCGUGAGGAGGCGGACCUAAGGGAGCGGGUGGGAAUGGCAACAUGGAUAAGGUCAGACAGAUAUGGAGGGGCGAGAUUAUGGAGGGCUUUGAAGGUCAAGAUAAGGAUUUUAUAAUUAAUCCAGAGAGACACUGGUAGCCAGUGAAGCUUUUGUAGAACAGGUGUGAUAUGCAUAGUGGAGGGGGUUUGUGUUCUGAUCCGGGUAGCAGAGUUUUGGAGCAGUUGUAGUUUGUGAAUAGCUUUGUAAGGGAGUUCAGAUAAAAGGGAGUUGCAGUCGUCCAGACGAGAGGUGAUGAGACUGUGGACUAGAAUGGCUGUGGAGUGAGGACUGAGUGUCACGGUGCCCCCGGCCGGGCCCUCUUCAUCAAGUCCACCUGCUGACAACGGCUGCGCCUCAUCAGCCUCAUCAGGACCCAGGCUCUUAAGGAGAACCAGGACCUGUACUCGACGCUAGUUCGUUGUACUCCACGGAUUCUGCCCUCAUCUGGAACUCUAAGGCCGCACUCACCUCUCGCUGCUUCCUGUCUCGGCGUCCCUCUGGCUUCCUUUGGACCACGGUGUUCGCCCUCAAGAACCUCCAACCAUCUCCUACGUAUUCUGCCCUGCAAAUUCUGUUUCCAGAAUUAAAUCUAUUUAUACUUAC